GGCCUCAGUGGCUCCAUGGUAGAGCAUCUGCUUGGCUUGCAGAAGGUCCCAGGUUCCAGCCCCAGCAUCUCCA
rnacentral:tRNA from 1 species